rnacentral:rRNA from 1 species
GAUGAACGCUGGCGGCGUGCCUAAUACAUGCAAGUCGAGCGAACGUACGAUAAUCUUUCUUCUCUGAUUUUAUCGGCGGCCGGGUGAUUAACCCGUGGAUAACCUCCCUUUAAUUCUGGGAUACCUUCUGGAAACCUUGGCUAAUCCCGGAUAAUAUUUUGUACCGCAUGGUUCAACAGUGAAAGACGCUCUUGCUGUUACUUCUAGAUGGAUCCGCGCUGCCUUAGCUAGUUGGUAAGGUAACGGCUUACCAAGGCAACGAUGGAUAGCUGACCUGAGAGGGUGAUCGGGCAGACUGGAACGGAGACAGGGUCCAGACACCUACGGGAGGGAGGAGGAGGGAAGCGGCAGCGAUGGGCGAAAGGAUGACGGAGGAACGGCGGGUGAGUGAUGAAGGUAGUCGGAUCGGAAAACACUGUUAUUAGGGAAGAAAAUAGGUGUAAGUAACUGUGCACAUCUUGACGGUAGCUAAGCAGAAAGGCGCGGCUAAAUAAGGG